rnacentral:tRNA from 1 species
GCUGGCGUAGCUCAGGGGUAGAGCAGCUGAUUUGUAAUCAGCAUGUCGGGGGUUCAAAUCCUCUCGCCAGCUCCA